rnacentral:lncRNA from 10 species
CAAUAGCCCCCUGCUUGGUCUGGGGGUGCAGGCUAUGCCCCUCUUGCUUGCAGUCUCUCCUCACCUGCCAGGGCAGGGACCAAACACCCAGUUCUCUCCCUUCCAGGGGCUGUGGGGGCCAGAAGGAGAGUGUGAGAGGGAGGCCAGUUUGGCGCAGGCCUGUGGGUGGUGCGGUGGUGGAGGGGUUCUGGAGGGCUUGGCGACAUAAACCUCAUACUUGGAUUUAUUCCUGCAUCUUUCCACCUCCCCCAGUGCUCACCAAUGCCCCAGGCAUCAGGCUCCUGGGCUGCCUCUCCAUGCCUCCCACACCCACCCUAGCUCUGGCCGAUUCUCCUGCAGCACUGAGCCCAUUCCUCUCCCCAGAAACUUCCAAGCCAUGCUCAACCGCAGCUCCCACGGAAACCCCUCUGGGGGUUCCUCUGGUGGGCCUGCCCUGGCACCUGCGUGUCCCCCAACACACAUGCCCUGAAAGAAGUGGGCCCAGCAUCCGGAGGAGCCCCGGCAGCCCCAGACUGGGCGUGUUCCCUGUAUCAGGAAUCCCUUCCCUCUGCUCCCCUGUCUGGCCCGUCCCUGCAUCAUCCCACAACAGUAGUAACAAUAACAAACGUGGUUCCUUGAGCACACGCUGUGUGCCUGGCACUGUUCUAGACAUGGGGGCCCAGCAGUGAGCCAGGCGCGGCCUCUCCUCCUGCUGGAGCUCACCUAGGAAUGAAGUUGGUAACGUUCUUAUACCCAUCUUACAGAUGAGAAAACUGAGAGGGUUAUGGAAAUUGCCAAGAACUAGUAAAUGGAGAAGUCAGGGCCCCUUGCCUUAGAGAGGGUAAGGGAUGUCCCCAAGUCACACCCCGGCAGUUGGGAGUGGGGAACUCAGCACUGGAGCCGCCUCCCUCUGGAGGAGGGAUCCUUUGCCUUCCCUGAGAAGGACCCUUGCUGCAAACACGAGUGGAUAUGAGCCAGGGGCACGGCCAGGCUGCCUCUGCCACCCUCUCUCCCCAGCCCAGGGUAGACAGGUCACACCAACCCCAG